rnacentral:tRNA from 7 species
AGGGGUGUAGCUCAGUUGGUAGAGCAUCGGAUUCCAAAUCCGACGGUCGGGGGUUCGAGUCCCUCCGCCCCUGCCA